GGCUCAGGACGAACGCUGGCGGCGUGCCUAACACAUGCAAGUCACGGGGGUCCGCAAGGGCAACCGGCGAACGGGUGCGUAACACGUGAGCAAUCUGCCGAUUUCUGGGGGAUAGCCGGUCCAACGACCGGGUAAUACCGCAUACGCUCAUUGGGGGACAUCCCCUGAUGAGGAAACCUCCGGGGGAAAUCGAGGAGCUCGCGGCCUAUCAGCUAGUUGGCGAGGUAACGGCUCACCAAGGCGACGACGGGUAGCUGGUCUGAGAGGAUGGCCAGCCACAUUGGGACUGCGACACGGCCCAGACUCCUACGGGAGGCAGCAGUGGGGAAUAUUGCGCAAUGGACGAAAGUCUGACGCAGCGACGCCGCGUGUGGGAUGAAGCUUUUCGGAGUGUAAACCACUGUUGCCCGGGACGAACAUCCCCUUUCGAGGGGACUGACGGUACCGGGUGAGGAAGCACCGGCUAACUCUGUGCCAGCAGCCGCGGUAAUACAGAGGGUGCGAGCGUUGUCCGGAAUCACUGGGCGUAAAGGGCGCGUAGGUGGCUUGGUAAGCGUGUGGUGAAAGCUCGGGGCUCAACCCCGAGUCGGCCAUGCGAACUGCCGAGCUUGAGCAUGGUAGAGGCAGGUGGAAUUCCGGGUGUAGCGGUGGAAUGCGUAGAUAUCCGGAAGAACACCGGUGGCGAAGGCGGCCUGCUGGGCCAUUGCUGACACUGAGGCGCGACAGCGUGGGGAGCAAACAGGAUUAGAUACCCUGGUAGUCCACGCCGUAAACGAUGGGCACUAGGUGCUUGGGGGAGCGACCCCCUGAGUGCCGUCGCUAACGCAUGAAGUGCCCCGCCUGGGGAGUACGGCCGCAAGGCUGAAACUCAAAG
rnacentral:rRNA from 1 species